GACGGGAGCAGGCAGAAAGGAGGCAGGGCGCGUUACAACGGGCUCUUGCAACAACUUGCAGUGCUUUUUCGGCCCCAAAGGUGAUGUCUCUGUGGCUGGGAGCCCGGGGGCCAGGUCCCAAGGCCUCCACCUCCCCUCAGUGACCGGUCAUGGCGGGCUUGGGGGUAGUGGGGGCAGAAGUAUUGAAGGCCUCGGUGAGGCAGGCCCGAGGGGUGGACCCGCGCUCUGCGCAGGUGAGACCUAGGGCGAUGAUGGAUUCUGGACCACGGAGACCCGGCGGCGGGGGACAAGGGCGCUGGAUUUAAAUUUCACGAUUCAAUGAGGCACAGAAAUUUCAUUUUAAAUCUGGAGGAGUCUUACUUAUUAAGGAAGAAGCAGGGAUCUCACAUCUUAGAUCACCUUCCACUCCUCGUCAAAACUGCCAUCACUCUUCUCACCUUUGCAAGAAAGCAUUUUUGACAUGGAAAAUAAAGAAAAUGUAAGCAUCUUCAGAAAAAGGAUUACUUCUUAUUCACUGUUGUAUCUCCAGAGCCUGAUAUAAUACAUGGAAGGUAUUCAAUAAAUGUUAAUUGAAUGACUAUCGAAUACAGUGAAUUGCCUCUAGAUCUCUUAUGACAGUCUCAUGCUUAGUUUCCUCAUCUAUAAAAUGGGAACAAAAGCAGUACUGCCUGAGACGUUUCCUGUGAAGACUGGAAUGAACCAACACCUGUAACAUACCCACAACAGGCCUGGCUGUCAAUAAAUGCUCGCCAUUACUACCUUCA